AGCGAACGCUGGCGGCAGGCUUAACACAUGCAAGUCGAACGCAUCCUUCGGGAUGAGUGGCAGACGGGUGAGUAACACGUGGGAACGUGCCCUCCGGUCUGGGAUAACCCUGGGAAACUAGGGCUAAUACCGGAUACGUGCUUUGGCAGAAAGGUUUACUGCCGGAGGAUCGGCCCGCGUCUGAUUAGCUAGUUGGUGGGGUAACGGCCUACCAAGGCGACGAUCAGUAGCUGGUCUGAGAGGAUGAUCAGCCACACUGGGACUGAGACACGGCCCAGACUCCUACGGGAGGCAGCAGUGGGGAAUAUUGGACAAUGGGCGCAAGCCUGAUCCAGCCAUGCCGCGUGAGUGAUGACGGCCUUAGGGUUGUAAAGCUCUUUUCUCCGGGACGAUAAUGACGGUACCGGAGGAAUAAGCCCCGGCUAACUUCGUGC
rnacentral:rRNA from 1 species